rnacentral:misc_RNA from 1 species
GGAGAAUCAUCUCUUUCUACAGAAACUUUUUGCCAUUUUUUCAUAACUUGGACUUGGAGUCUUAUGUAUCUAUUUAGUAACUGCCUUCCAUUUUCUUGAGUGCUCAGUAUCAAAAUAUUGCUAUAGCAUGAUUUUUGAUCAUAUGAUUUUUGAUGAAUUUUGUUAACCAUUCUGACAUGAUUCUAUCAAGCUAAAUGCAGUGGUUUGUUUGCAACUUUUCAUUAGUUAAG